CAAAGUUUAUCCCAUACAAUUCGGUCUCUGAACGGGUCUUCCUUCGUUCGUUCACAGCUCAAGCUGCAUCAAGCUCAGCAGUACGUUCGCUCUCGGCUUGGUCUCUUGUUCAUUUGUUACGUGAUAGCUACCGAGUCACUGUUGCGCUGU